CUGCCGCGGGGCGUCGACUCAGAAUUGCAGCCUCCACGCCCGGAAGAUCUCUGGGGAGAAAGGGGCGGCGUUGGGGAUGGAGGGCUUGGCACAGCCCUGCAUCGUGACGUGACCAGCUUGCGCCGGGGAGGGAGAAUCUUCAGAAAGAUGAGAGGGGAUUCUACUAAUCAUUUGGAUAAAAGCUAUGGCAUGUUCAUUUGAAAAAGACAGCAUUUUCUCACCUGAAUCGACUGUGUCUUCUCUCCUAGCAAGCUGCAGCCUUAACAAUAGUAAUUCCCACUCAAACAGCUCAAUUCAGUACAAAGACAAGGUGUAUGACUCUGCAUCUCGGGCUUUGGAGGCCUAUAUUGAAGAUUUUAAUCAAAGUCUUAUGUCUUCAGAAGUUAGCACUGGAAAAAUCUGCAUAGGUCAGAGUACUCCUAAAGAUAAGUCAGCAAAGUGUGGUUCUGUACAAAAAUAUGCUUUGGAAGACUUUAACCAGCAAGUGAAACUAAACUCAAUUGCUUCACCUUUUAUAAGACAAACUCUUUGUGACCCGGACUUAAUUAGUCUCACCACAGAUGAUCUAUUAGCAUUUCCAGCAGAUGGAUCACUGCCUUUUAUCUACAGGACUCCUUCUGGGUUAGGGCUUCAAAGUGGCAAGUGGAUUAGGAAGUCACUGAAAAAAUCGGCCUUCUAUCCAUAUCAGAAUUCCUCAUUUGAUGUUGAAAAAGACUUUGGUUUCCAAGACAAUGCUGUGGAUACUCAAAAUCAGAAUAGAGACAUUGGCAAAGAGAAAUACAAUGUAUAUAAAUCUCACAAAUAUCAUUCUUUAUUUUCUAAAGAAAAUUCAGGAGAUCACUGUUUCCAACAACACUCUAUACCUGUUUCUGACAAGAAUUAUCCAAGGUGGCUUACUAGCCAUAAGUCUGACUUGAAUGUCUCUGGAAUAAGUAGCAUUCCUGAUUUCAAUUACCCAAUCUGGCUAAAGAGUAAUAACCUUUUAUCUGAUUCAGCUAAUCAAAGCUUUAUUCAAACACUUAACAUACAAGAAGAAUUUUCCUCUUCAAAAAAUUGUGAGAAUCUGAAAAAAACUCACAUUGUGGAUAAAUUGAACUGCAAUUCUUUUGAACAAAAUAGUUAUGUGGAUCCAACAGAUGACAAUGAAGUAACAGGAAAUUGCAGCUAUGACAGACCAAGUGCACACUUCCAACCUAGCAAUGUUCUCUCAAGACAGUCUAAACAGCCAUUCAGAGAUGACCAGAUUGAGUUGCUUAUUUUGAAGGCAAAGAGAACUCUAGAGUCUUCUGUUGAGAAUUUAUCAAGUGCUCUGAAAAAUGACAGCCCUUGUACCGUAGAUAUAUUGGAAGGAGAAAGAUCGUGGGAAAAUGUUCCAGUUGCUUUCAAACCUCCGGUGCCUGUACAGUGUGACGAAGUGGAAAACACUCUACAAUCUCCCAAGGCUCACAUUGUUAAUGAAUUCCUUGAAGACUGUUUAAAUCAUGACAGUCAGGAAAAUACUUUUUCUGGAGGUAACCAUCAUGGUCCAGUUGAAGCUUUAAAACUAAUGUUGUUUAACCUGCAAGCAGUUCAUGAAAGCUUUAACCAGAAUAAAACUGCUGAACAAAAUGAUGAGUUAAAAAAAUCUCACUUGGAAAAAAAUUAAGUUAUCGUGGAUAUGAGAAUUAUCACAUCGAUUGGAAACUAGCUGAAGAAUAAAACAAUAUUAAAGGGCUUUACACCAUUUGUCCCGGCUCAAAGGUCUAGUUGAAGAUACCACUAGCAAACAAGAUCAGAAAUCUCAACAUCCAGAAGAUAGAAAGGAAAAAAACAGUAUACAAAUCAGAAAUAUUUUGUUGGAAACAGAGUAGUCUAUGUAAUGAAAAUAUUAGUACCUGUAUAGUAACCGUUAACUUUCGUUUUUAAGAGCUGUUUCAUAGGUCAUUUUUUAAUUUGUAUUUAAUUUGAGAGAAGUAUGUAUUAUUUUAAAAGUACCAUACAUCGUUUCUACAUUUCUUUUAAUAUUCAGGUGAAAACUCCAAAGUGUAUGAAUAAUAAAUGUAAAAUAUAAUCUGUCAAGAUUUAUAGUAUAAAAAUAUUUAUUUUAUUAAAAAAAACUUGAGCAGCCUUCAAAGAAGAAGUUCUGCGUUCUAUAAAUAACAUAAUUCAGGAACUCAAAAUGCUAUUCUGCAUUCAGUGACUCUAUUACAUCCCCCAGAUUCUGCUACAAAAUUGAUAGAAAUAAGAAAAGUUACCCAAACAGGAAGGCUGUGUAACAAUCUACUAUGUAUUAGAGUUUGGCUGUUUGUUUGAUCAAGAACUACAGGUUGGACCUCCCUGCUCUGGCACCCUUGGGAUGAGGGAUUUUGCCAGACCAUGGAAGGUCAUAUCUGGCUACCUGCUUCUGGCUCCCCCCAGCCUUGGACCAGCCCCCUGGCAAGCUCCCCCUUGUUUCCAGCCUCGCUUCCCUGCCAGUAUCCCCACCUCCUUCCCCACUAUGCUGGGCAGCCCUGUUGGGUUGCGCCUGGCUGCCUAGUUGUGGCACGCCAGGCAGCCCAACUGCGGGGAGCAUAGGCACCAGCCCUCCACCGGGACUCUGGUCCUGUUGUAUGUUGCCAGACCGGGGAGUCCCAGAUUAGAGGUUCAAGCUCUACUUGUAAAUGCUAAGAGCUAGGAUCACCAAACUUGGCAUACAGCUUCCUCUUAACCAAAAAUUUAAGCAAUAGAAGGGUGUGAUUGUGACAGGAAAACAGGAUGUGCUAAGAAUGGUAUUGCUUCUCAUAAAACCAAACAGAAAACAGACAGGAUCACCAAAUCAAAUACAGUCCUCAAUAUUUACAUAACUAAAUGAAUGUUGAAAGAGACUGAACCAAGAUGAAUCAGAAAAAUUGGAUGAACUUGGAAUAGGCUUGCUUCUCAAUAAAUCUUACAGAAAAGAGAUAAAACUGAGGGUAUGUCUACACUACCAAGCUAGU